rnacentral:rRNA from 1 species
AUUGAACGCUGGCGGCAGGCCUAACACAUGCAAGUCGAGCGGAUGAAGGGAGCUUGCUCCUGGAUUCAGCGGCGGACGGGUGAGUAAUGCCUAGGAAUCUGCCUGGUAGUGGGGGAUAACGUCCGGAAACGGGCGCUAAUACCGCAUACGUCCUGAGGGAGAAAGUGGGGGAUCUUCGGACCUCACGCUAUCAGAUGAGCCUAGGUCGGAUUAGCUAGUUGGUGGGGUAAAGGCCUACCAAGGCGACGAUCCGUAACUGGUCUGAGAGGAUGAUCAGUCACACUGGAACUGAGACACGGUCCAGACUCCUACGGGAGGCAGCAGUGGGGAAUAUUGGACAAUGGGCGAAAGCCUGAUCCAGCCAUGCCGCGUGUGUGAAGAAGGUCUUCGAAUUGUAAAGCACUUUAAGUUGGGAGGAAGGGCAGUAAGUUAAUACCUUGCUGUUUUGACGUUACCAACAGAAUAAGCACCGGCUAACUUCGU